rnacentral:rRNA from 1 species
ACCUUACCUACCCUUGACAUGGUCGGAAUCCUGAAGAGAUUCGGGAGUGCUCGAAAGAGAACCGGCGCACAGGUGCUGCAUGGCUGUCGUCAGCUCGUGUCGUGAGAUGUUGGGUUAAGUCCCGCAACGAGCGCAACCCUUGUCCUUAGUUGCUACGCAAGAGCACUCUAAGGAGACUGCCGGUGACAAACCGGAGGAAGGUGGGGAUGACGUCAAGUCCUCAUGGCCCUUAUGGGUAGGGCUUCACACGUCAUACAAUGGUCGGAACAGAGGGUUGCCAACCCGCGAGGGGGAGCUAAUCCCAGAAAACCGAUCGUAGUCCGGAUUGCACUCUGCAACUCGAGUGCAUGAAGCUGGAAUCGCUAGUAAUCGCGGAUCAGCAU